rnacentral:tRNA from 1 species
UGGGGUAUCGCCAAGCGGUAAGGCACCGGGUUUUGAUCCCGGCAUUCCCAGGUUCGAGGGCACCGGGUUUUGAUCCCGGCAUUCCCAGGUUCGAAUCCUGGUACCCCAGCCA